rnacentral:lncRNA from 1 species
GAUCAAAAAUCUUAAACUACAAUAGAAUAUAAAAUUCUUCGAUACAAUCAGCUUAAAUGUAAAAACGCCAACAAUAAACUUAUCAAAUAAACAUUCUUAAUUUUUCUCUUGGUACAUAAACCUUCUUCAAGUUACAUUACAUGAUUAGAUCUAUGCGAUAACUCGUUAGAACUUGAGUUUCAUAUGACGAUCUUGCGUAUUUGGACAACAUACAUUGAGAUGUACAAUAUAUAGAACUUGAGUUUCAUAUGACGAUCUUGCGUAUUUGGAAAACAUACAUGGAGAUGUACAAUAUAUAAUGGAUUUAUAUGAGAAAUUGAAUAAAUUUUCAGAAUAUAGAGCCAUAUUUCUCCAAUGGAAACUAAUAUACAAAUAUAAAUAUAAAAAAAAUCAACCCCAUAAUCUAUUACCAUGAAAAUAAAAAUACACAAUACAUU